CCUACGGGCGGCAGCAGUGGGGAAUAUUGCACAAUGGGGGGAACCCUGAUGCAGCGACGCCGCGUGAGUGAAGAAGUAUUUCGGUAUGUAAAGCUCUAUCAGCAGCGAAGAAGAUGACGGUACCUGACUAAGAAGCCCCGGCUAACUACGUGCCAGCAGCCGCGGGAAUACGUAGGGGGCAAGCGUUAUCCGGAUUUACUGGGUGUAAAGGGAGCGUAGACGGUAGGGCAAGUCUGGAGUGAAAGCCAGGGGCCCAACCCCGGGACUGCUUUGGAAACUGCCAGGCUAGAGUGCAGGAGAGGGAAGCGGAAUUCCGAGUGUAGCGGUGAAAUGCGUAGAUAUAAGGAGGAACACCAGUGGCGAAGGCGGCUUACUGGACAGUAACUGACGUUGAGGCUCGAAAGCGUGGGGAGCAAACAGGAUUAGAUACCCCUGUAGUC
rnacentral:rRNA from 1 species